rnacentral:misc_RNA from 1 species
GAUGAAGAACGUAGUGAAAUGCGAUAAGUAAUGUGAAUUGCAGAAUUCAGUGAAUCAUCGAAUCUUUGAACGCACAUUGCGCCCCUUGGUAUUCCGAGGGGCAUGCCUGUUCGAGCGUCAUUAUAACCCCUCAAGCUCAGCUUGGUGUUGGGGGCUGCUGCACUGGCAGCCCUUAAAAUCAGUGGCGGCGCCAUCUGGCUCUAAGCGUAGUAAUUCUUCUCGCUAUGGAGUCCUGGUGGAUGCUUGCCAUCAACCCCCAAUUUUUCUAUGGUUGACCUCGGAUCAGGUAGGGAUACCCGCUGAACUUAAGCAUAUCAAUAAGCGGAGGA